CACGUAGGGUGCGAGCGUUGUCCGGAAUUAUUGGGCGUAAAGAGCUCGUAGGCGGUGUGUCGCGUCGGCCGUGAAAACCUGCAGCUUAACUGUGGGCUUGCGGUCGAUACGGGCAUCACUGGAGUUCGGCAGGGGAGACUGGAAUUCCUGGUGUAGCGGUGAAAUGCGCAGAUAUCAGGAGGAACACCGGUGGCGAAGGCGGGGUCUCUGGGCAGUAACUGACGCUGGAGGAGCGAAAGCGUGGGAGCGAACAGG
rnacentral:rRNA from 1 species